rnacentral:rRNA from 1 species
GGUUAAAAAGCUCGUAGUUGGAUUUCUGUUGAGGGCGACCGGUGUACACCUCGUGUAUUAUUUGGUUCGGUCUCGGCAUCCUCUUGGGGAACGUUUCUGGACUUUAUUGGACAGGGCGAGAUUCAAGACUUUUACUUUGAGGAAAUUAGAGUGUUCACGGCAGGCAAGCGCUUUGAAUACAUUAGCAUGGAAUAAUAAUAUAGGACCUUCGUUCUAUUUUGUUGGUUUCUAGAACUUAGGUAAUU